UGCCAGCAGCCAGAGGGGCAGGAGCUAGGAGCUCUCCUUCUGCUAGAAGAAAAGGAUGACUUUUGAGAGGGGAUUGCACAGGUUGUGAGACAAGACAGAUGCAGUUGCUGCUGGAGGGAUACCAUAAACAGAGUCUGAGCUUGAAAUGCGGAACCAAAAAAGAAAGCAGUUUAUUCCAAUGGCCUGAUCUGAGCCUGCACCAUCCAUAAAAAUCAACCAGAGCUCAAAUGGAUGUACAAAGAAGGAAGAUCCUGAUUCUUCAAUGGUGAUGGCUAUCCAGAACACCAACUGAAGUCAGCAGGAGUACCUCAGCAACUUUGAAAAAAAAUCAGGCUUCCUAUGAUCUGAGAUACUAUGGACAAUCAAGCUGAACUUUACUGAAGGCAAAAAAACUGAUUUCAGUUACACUAGAGUGGAGAAUUCAGAGAAACCCAC